AGAGUUUGAUCCUGGCUCAGGAUGAACGCUAGCUACAGGCUUAACACAUGCAAGUCGAGGGGCAGCAUGGAAGAAGCUUGCUUCUUCUGAUGGCGACCGGCGCACGGGUGCGUAACGCGUAUCAAACCUGCCUCAUACUCGGGGAUAGCCUUGCGAAAGUAAGAUUAAUACCCGAUGUUGUUAUGUUUCCGCAUGGUGAUAUAACCAAAGAUUUAUCGGUAUGAGAUGGUGAUGCGUCCGAUUAGGUAGUAGGCGGGGUAACGGCCCACCUAGCCUUCGAUCGGUAGGGGUUCUGAGAGGAAGGUCCCCCACACUGGAACUGAGACACGGUCCAGACUCCUACGGGAGGCAGCAGUGAGGAAUAUUGGUCAAUGGACGAAAGUCUGAACCAGCCAAGUAGCGUGCAGGAUGACGGCCCUCCGGGUUGUAAACUGCUUUUAGUUGGGAAUAAAAAAAGGGACUUGUCCCUUCUUGUAUGUACCUUCAGAAAAAGGACCGGCUAAUUCCGUGCCAGCAGCCGCGGUAAUACGGAAGGUCCAGGCGUUAUCCGGAUUUAUUGGGUUUAAAGGGAGCGUAGGCGGAUUGUUAAGUCAGCGGUUAAAGGGUGUGGCUCAACCAUGCAUUGCCGUUGAAACUGGCGAUCUUGAGUGCAGACAGGGAUGCCGGAAUUCGUGGUGUAGCGGUGAAAUGCUUAGAUAUCACGAAGAACUCCGAUCGCGAAGGCAGGUGUCCGGGCUGCAACUGACGCUGAGGCUCGAAAGUGUGGGUAUCAAACAGGAUUAGAUACCCUGGUAGUCCACACAGUAAACGAUGUAUACUCGCGGUUUGCGAUAGAUUGUAAGCCGCCAAGCGAAAGCAUUAAGUAUACCACCUGGGGAGUACGCCGGCAACGGUG
rnacentral:rRNA from 1 species